rnacentral:rRNA from 1 species
CCUACGGGUGGCAGCAGUGGGGAAUAUUGCACAAUGGGGUAAACCCUGAUGCAGCGACGCCGCGUGAGUGAAGACGUAAGUCGUUAUGUAAAGCUCUAUCAGCAGGGAAGAAAAUGACGGUACCUGAGUAAGAAGCACCGGCUAACUACGUGCCAGCAGCCGCGGUAAUACGUCGGGCGCAAGCGUUAUCCGGAUUUACUGGGUGUAAAGGGUGGGUAGACGGCAGUGCAAGUCUGGAGUGAAACGCGGGGGCUCAACCCCCGGACUGCUCUGGAAACUGUACGGCUGGAGGGGAGGAGAGGUAAGUGGAAUGCCGAGUGUAGCGGUGAAAUGCGUAGAUAUUAGGAAGAACCCCAGUGGCGAAGGCAGCUUACUGGACUGUAACUGACGUUGAAGCACGAAAGCGUGGGGAGCGAACAGGAUUAGAUACCCCAGUAGUC